UACGUAGGGAGCGAGCGUUGUCCGGAAUCAUUGGGCGUAAAGGGCGCGUAGGCGGCUUAACAAGUCACUUGGUGAAAUCUCCGGGCUUAACUCGGAACGGCCAAGUGAAACUGUCAAGCUAGAGUGGCAGAAGGGGCAAUCGGAAUUCUUGGUGUAGCGGUGAAAUGCGUAGAUAUCAAGAGGAACACCUGAGGUGAAGACGGGUUGCUGGGCUGACACUGACGCUGAGGCGCGAAAGCCAGGGGAGGCAAACGGG
rnacentral:rRNA from 1 species